ensembl:lncRNA
GAGUAGAUCUCCUUAAGUGUCUUUUUCUCAGAGUUGAGUGCAUUGACUCUGACUUAGGCAUGGGGGUGCUUAUGUAGCUGCUAAGGCAUCAAAGCCACCCCAGUUUAGUGGCCUCCUUGCUUCAUUUCCCAACCAUCGCCCAUUUGAUAGAUGUAAAUUUCCUGCUAAGCCUGACUUCUCUCAGCAGAAGACUCUUCAGAUAAAAACUGAAAUUGGGCUCUUCCUAAGACUGGUUACCCUGCCAGGCCCAAUCCUCCAACCCCAAGGAUGCCAGGGGAAACAGGCACAGUGCCACUGCGUAUCUCUUGGGAGAAAGAAGCCACUCUCCCAGGCAUGGACUUCACAGCCUUCUCUUUAGGCUGAUUGGGCCAGCUUACAACCUGUGUCCACACCGGAGCUACAGCGGUUAAAAGGACGAAGAGCUGACUCAUUUGAAAAGACCCUGAUGCUGGGAAAGAUUGAGGGCAGAAGAAGGGGACGACAGAGAAUGAGAUGAUUGGAUGGCAUCACCGACUCAAUGGACAUGGGUUUGGGUGGACUCCAUGAGCUGGUGAUGGACAGGGAAACCUGGCGUGCUGCGGUUCAUGGGGUUGCAAAGAGUUGGACACGACUGAGCGACUGAACUGAACUGAGGACAUUUCUUGGGCAAUAAUGGCUUUUAUCACUGUGGAGAGAAGGGACUUUUAUCACUGUGGGGAUUGUCUGAUAAAAGGUCCUGGGAGGUCUCUGCAUCAGUUGGUAGGAGGGGCUGUGCCCAGAUUCACCUUCCCCAAGACUGGUGUCCAAGCCCACCAUGUUUGUUAGCCCCUGAAUAAGGUCAAGCUCAACCCAUGGAACAGGAAGGCAUGUGGCCCCUGGUAACUUUAGCUGAAACCCAGCUCAAGCAUGCUUUUCCUCAGGGACCUGUCAACUGGCUCAUCCUCUGCCCUCUGGUUCCUGAGCCAAGUGACACUUGGUGUUUGUCCAGAGCCUCUUAGAGGGCAAUUUCUUAUGAACUUCUCAGGAACAUCAACCCCACAAGCCUGGCUUUGUUUUCUCAC